rnacentral:lncRNA from 1 species
UAAAGGAGUCUGUGAAAGCCAUUUCUGCUCUGCCUGGGCUCACGCAGGACACAUUUGGCUGGCAGAUGUGUGUUAAUCGGCCUUUGUGGUGAUCCCUUUGCACCACAUAGGCCAUAGAUUCCCAGAUGAAUCAGUCCAUUGGCCAUGAGGAACUGGAAUUCAGCUGCAGAAAGCUGCUGGUGGUUCCAGUGAGAAGCUGCCUAGACGAGCUGCCUUAACGUCUCUAGACGAUCAGCAAAGUCUGUACCAGAACUGACGGUAGACACAGGAUGAUGGACCGCUGUCCAGUUGUCCAGUUGUCCAGCCAGGGCUGACCUCUGAACAGAG